AGCGAGUGGCGAACGGGUGAGUAACGCGUGAGGAACCUGCCUCAAAGAGGGGGACAACAGUUGGAAACGACUGCUAAUACCGCAUAAGCCCACGACCCGGCAUCGGGAAGAGGGAAAAGGAGCAAUCCGCUUUGAGAUGGCCUCGCGUCCGAUUAGCUAGUUGGUGAGGUAAUGGCCCACCAAGGCGACGAUCGGUAGCCGGACUGAGAGGUUGAACGGCCACAUUGGGACUGAGACACGGCCCAGACUCCUACGGGAGGCAGCAGUGGGGAAUAUUGCACAAUGGGGGAAACCCUGAUGCAGCGACGCCGCGUGGAGGAAGAAGGUCUUCGGAUUGUAAACUCCUGUUGUUGAGGAAGAUAAUGACGGUACUCAACAAGGAAGUGACGGCUAACUACGUGCCAGCAGCCGCGGUAAAACGUAGGUCACAAGCGUUGUCCGGAAUUACUGGGUGUAAAGGGAGCGCAGGCGGGAAGACAAGUUGGAAGUGAAAUCCAUGGGCUCAACCCAUGAACUGCUUUCAAAACUGUUUUUCUUGAGUAGUGCAGAGGUAGGCGGAAUUCCCGGUGUAGCGGUGGAAUGCGUAGAUAUCGGGAGGAACACCAGUGGCGAAGGCGGCCUACUGGGCACCAACUGACGCUGAGGCUCGAAAGUGUGGGUAGCAAACAGGAUUAGAUACCCUGGUAGUCCACACCGUAAACGAUGAUUACUAGGUGUUGGGAGAUUGACCCUCUCAGUGCCGCAGUUAACACAAUAAGUAAUCCACCUGGGGAGUACGACCGCAAGGUUGAAACUCAAAGGAAUUGACGGGGGCCCGCACAAGCAGUGGAGUAUGUGGUUUAAUUCGACGCAACGCGAAGAACCUUACCAAGUCUUGACAUCCCUUGACGAUGCUGGAAACAGUAUUUCUCUUCGGAGCAAGGAGACAGGUGGUGCAUGGUUGUCGUCAGCUCGUGUCGUG
rnacentral:rRNA from 1 species